CCAGACUCCUACGGGAGGCAGCAGUGGGGAAUAUUGCACAAUGGGCGCAAGCCUGAUGCAGCCAUGCCGCGUGUAUGAAGAAGGCCUUCGGGUUGUAAAGUACUUUCAGUCGGGAGGAAGGUAGUAAGGUUAAUAACCUUAUCAAUUGACGUUACCGACAGAAGAAGCACCGGCUAACUCCGUGCCAGCAGCCGCGGUAAUACGGAGGGUGCAAGCGUUAAUCGGAAUUACUGGGCGUAAAGCGCACGCAGGCGGUCUGUCAAGUCGGAUGUGAAAUCCCCGGGCUCAACCUGGGAACUGCAUUCGAAACUGGCAGGCUGGAGUCUUGUAGAGGGGGGUAGAAUUCCAGGUGUAGCGGUGAAAUGCGUAGAGAUCUGGAGGAAUACCGGUGGCGAAGGCGGCCCCCUGGACAAAGACUGACGCUCAGGUGCGAAAGCGUGGGGAGCAAACAGGAUUAGAUACCCGUGUAAA
rnacentral:rRNA from 1 species